UUCAAUCUUAUACCUAGAUUUUAGCAGAGAUGCAGGCCUAGCCCCCCUAUGGACCAACGUUUUUCAAAUGUGAAAAUACAAUUCCAUGUGAAAUUGUUCACAUGUGAAAUUGCAAAUGUUCUUUUCACAUGUGAAUGUUUUUCAUGUAAAUUC